rnacentral:tRNA from 1 species
GUCUCGGUAGUCUAAAGGCUUAGGACGCUCGCACGGAGUGCAAGAGAUCCGGGUUCGAUUCCCGGCCGAGGCA